rnacentral:rRNA from 1 species
AUUGAACGCUGGCGGCAUGCUUUACACAUGCAAGUCGAACGGCAGCGCGGGCUUCGGCCUGGCGGCGAGUGGCGAACGGGUGAGUAAUGCAUCGGAACGUGCCCAGUAGUGGGGGAUAGCCCGGCGAAAGCCGGAUUAAUACCGCAUACGACCUGAGGGUGAAAGCGGGGGACCGAAAGGCCUCGCGCUAUUGGAGCGGCCGAUGUCGGAUUAGCUAGUUGGUGGGGUAAAGGCUUACCAAGGCGACGAUCCGUAGCUGGUCUGAGAGGACGACCAGCCACAACGGGACUGAGACAAGGCCCAGAAUCCUAAGGGAAGGAGCAGUGGGGAAUUUUGGACAAUGGGGGCAACCCUGGUCCCAGCAUGGCGCGUGCGGGAAGGAGGGCUUCGGGUUGGAAACCGCUUUUGUUCGGGAAGAAAUCCCCUGGGCUAAUACCCCGGGGGGAUGACGGUACCGGAAGAAUAAGCACCGGCUAACUACGUG